rnacentral:rRNA from 1 species
GUGAGACUCCCGUUCGGCUGUGCAUUUGAGCUUACAUGAUUGAGUCGAGUUGUUUGGGAUUGCAGCUCAAAGUGGGUGGUAAAUUCCAUCGAAAGCUAAAUAUUGGUGGGAGACCGAUAGCGUACAAGUACCGUGAGGGAAAGAUGCAAAGAACUUUGAAAAGAGAGUUAAAGAGUACCUGAAAUUGCUGAAAUGGAAGCGAAGGAAACCAGUGUUUUGCGUGUCAUAUUUC